AAAUCAUGUAAAUACAAUUUCUUUAGGCAUUUAUGAAACUACACAUUUCUUGGAGUUUGAGUCAGUUUUGCUUUUGAAAUGACGAGUCUUUUCUGGAAAAAAUAAGAUAACAUUUAUGAAUACCUAAAAUUUUUAAAGCACUGAUUGUCUACCAGGCACUAUUAUUCAUUAAAUCCCACAACAGCCCUUUGAAGUAAACAUUUUUAUUUUCUUUCCUAGUUAAUAAAUGAGAAGGUUGUCACAGGAAGGUCAUAGAACUUGCUCGAGGUUUACAACCAGUCAGUCAGCUUUGGAGUUCAAGAGUGAGCUCACACAGCCUUGCGUCAGAACACAUACCCUUAGCCAGUUCAGUGGACUGCAUCUUCAUCUUCUCUAAGAGUUCUUAUGGAACCUCUUUCAUAGGAAGAAUACAUUUAACCCUUUUCCCAUUUAGAAAAAAAAGUGCAGCUCACUGCCAGCACUUCUUCAAUUUUACAUAAAUACGCUCUUUGAGGCUGAAGCAAAUCUGAUUUUCAUUGUGAAAAACAAAUAUACAAACUUCUUGGAGUUAUUUCUAAACAGAACUAACAUCAGAAUAGUCUGAAUCAUCCGAAUCAUCAAUUUCUGAAAAAUUGGAUUCAUGGAAUGAAUCUUUGGCCAACAAUUGUUUGAGAACGAUGUUAACAUCACAUAUAGGAAUGCUACAUUUUCUAGGACUUGACAUUUUCAAUGAUCAAGAAUUUCCAUAUUUUGUAAAUGGAAAUACCACUAGUAAAACCAGAAUGCUAUAAGUAGAAUGAUAUCUUUUGUUUCCAAAGUCAAUAUACUAGAGUGAUCCAAAAAUAAUAAUAAAAACAAGAUAAUUCAUGGCAAAGUUUUUUCAGGGUAAAUGCUGCAAGCACCACUGGUGAGUAUUCUCGGGGCCAAUGGGAACAGGGUAAAAGUUGAGGGAAAAACUCCAAUAUUAUGAGAUCAUGUGAUGGAAGGUAAGUAUCCACACAUUGUUCCUUGUACCUACUACUGCUGGAAACUAUUGGAUCAGUCGGUGUUCACUCAUUUAUCUUCUUGCUCCAGGUAAAACUGCUUCAGUGAAAAUAAUGGCAGAUGUUCCUGUAUUUUGCUUGAAUGCUUGUUAUUACAUGAGAGCUACAACACCGCCUAAUUUAUUGAUAAGUUUUUAAAGGAUCUUUCCUGACAAUAUGGUCAGUGAUUUUGGCAGACUGAUUUUUAGCAAUAACCUCAGGUGGCAAAGUAAUAGCCUGUCUGCUCUUUUUGUUCUACCUAGAGAUAACAUUUUCAAAUACACUAACCUGCAGUUUAUCAACAGGGGUAAAAUGGCAUUUUGAGCAAGACAACUCUUAGUCGUGGAGAACAAUCCUAUAACUGUAUGGGAUAGUUUAGCACUUCUGCCCCACCCCACCUGCCCCCACCACACAUACACAUAAACAAAAACACUCCCACACUUUUUCAAAUGCUGAGUAGGGGGAUGACACAGAACUGCCAGGCUAAUGAGUAACCAGUAUUGACUGGGUCAUUCCCCAAAGGAGAAGCUGCUGACAGCUUACAAGCCCCUUCCAUAGUUCCAUACUCCGUGUGAGCCACAGCUAACACCACGCUGGGGCUGUAGCUGGUCAGGAUGAUAUUUCUGUAGACUGCUUCCUGAAAUUUUAAGGGAGAAAGAAUUUCUGUUGUUGAAACUGUCACUUACCAGCUAGUUUUGGGAAACCUGCGUGUACCAGCUCUUCAUACAGUUGCUUGGCCGGGUCACCCUGAGUCAUCAGGGUCCCGUGUAGCCAGAUAAGCAGAGCCCUGUGGCCAUGUUCACGGAAGCUUUCAUUUCCUGUGCCAAGCACAAGAGGUCCGAGGUAAAACACCACGAGCUGCUAUCUCUUUCCAUUGUGAUCUCAGUUCCAACUAAACUUUCUGAAUGACUGUUUGCUUGCCUGUUCCUCUUCGAAAAAAGCCCUUCCAGUUGCCCUCGCUGUGCUGCUUUAUGAUGACCAGCAUUUGCUUUCCCUCCAGCCUGUGCUAUGCACCUGCUAUGCUUGGCACACACCCAAAGGAGUGUACAAGAGAGAGGACAGCUGUGGUGCCUGCCCAGGGGGAACAAUUUUAAUGAAAUAUGCAACUUCUCAUAGACCAGUGCUCUUCAAACUCACAGUGCUUAUUUCACCUGGGUAUCUUACUAAAAUGCAAGUUUGGAUUCAGUAGGUCUGGGGUAAGAAUCCAUGCAUCUAACAAACUCCCGGGUGCUGCUGCCACUGCUGCUCCAUAUUCCCCACUCUGAGCAGCAAGCAUGCACCAUUCAUUCUGCCACUCCAGUCUCAAGGAAGCUACUCUGAGGGAAGUUUGCAUCCCUGGGCCAGGAUUAUUCAUUUGAUAAAUACUCACUGCAUAUCUCAGCCUAGAGAGGUGUUGGGGGAAGUACCGGGAUAGGGAGCCACAAAGCCUCUGUGGUUCCCAACAGGACUUCACUACAGGCUCCUUGCUCUGAGAGAGAGUGUGCAGGAGCAGACAUGCUGUGCAAGGGAAGGGCCUGAGCUCUGCAGGGGUGAGGGAGAAGUUCACUGGACAGACUGAUAUGGAGAAGCGGGCAUUUCAGGGAGAGGGAACUGCAUACUUACAGAAUGUACUCCUGGACAAGUCCUCUGUUCCUUUCCUAAUCUUGCUCUUGACAAACUAAUUUUUCUUAAAUACCAUCAUGAGUCUGUCACUCCUUUGAUCAAAAGCCCACAAACUCCCCAGUGCCAGUAACCUUACCCUGGAUCACAAUAUAAUUGAAUUGCAAGUGUCAUUGUUAUUGUGCCAACUAGAUUAUAAACUCCAUCAAACAUGCAUGGCUUAGAGAGCUGAUGUAUCUAUCCCUCAUCCAGCAGAAAUAAACACUCCAGGCCCUCCAUAAAGGUUCCAUCGAAACACUUUAAAAUCCCCCUUAUCCUGCUGGCAAGUACUCUGAAGAUACACUAUAUUUUCAAGUCAUCUCUUUAGGUCAAGUUAGAGUUCCAGGAGGCAACUCAAUUUUCCUAAAGACUUCACAGAACACUAUAAGCCUAAUUAAUGACAAAAAAGAAAUCUUAACAAUAAAAAAAUUUUUCUAGUUAGAAACUAGUUAGUAUUCAAUGUUUUCAAUACAUUAUCUUCUAUUUUUCACAUGAAAAUGUAUCCUAAGAAUGUGCAAUACAAAGUCUCAUAAUUUACUUGUAUGUGGUAUAAAUAGUGUGUGCUCAUGGACUGUGCUUCUGCCAUCCCCAGUUCCCAGCAAUCCCUAAUACAAAUAGACCCCUGAGCAAGGACACCUUCUCGUCUUAGGAUGUCCAUGAGAGGGCAGUGCUCUGAAUAGAAAACUUUGCCAAGAAACAUGUUUGCUUCAUUGUUUUCAAAGCUAAUUAGUUGAUUAAUGCCAAGUAAACUUUCUAUGUUUCCUAGGUUUUCGUCUAACCACAAAAAACAAAAUUAAGGAAUCUAGCUGACCUGACUUCACUAAUUAUGACAGUUUGAGUCCAGCUGAAAUGAUUCCAUUGCUUGGAAUCAUCUAGCCAAGAAAGCCCUCUGAGUCUGUAUUUGCCGUGUCGCUCAUGGCACAGCCAAGUCUCCCCUAAGGCAGUGUCCUACAACAACCCUUUCUCCUACACCCACCUGCUUUAAGGAAUUCCUCUUUCUGGAGCGCAGACUUAAACAGCGAGCCUAUUGAUUACAGAAUGAACCCAUUCACCCCAGGACAGUCUCAAGGAACAUAGAAAUCAGAUUGGCUUCCCACUGACACACCAACUGUUAAAUCCUUGCUUGCUUCCUUAGUGACCGUCCAGUUGGGAAUCUUACUGUCUCUCUAGGCUAAAUGCACAUGUCUGAUAUGGGUCAAUACACAUAAUCAUCCUUUACAAACUUCGGUUUACUGCAGACCAUGAGUGUUCACUUUCUGCAAAUCUUAAUGCCCAAAUCACUGGUGUGGACCUAAGCUAACUGCCCCUAUUCCUGGGCCCCUUGAAGACUGCAGCUUAUUGUGAGUGCCACACACUUCCUUGGAAGACCUCACACCAGGAGGCACUGCUGUUCCUAACAGUGAAUUCCUCCUGCCCACAUCAUCUAGUCUGUACUCACCCGACCACUGCUCCUCAAUGGCUCUAAUCUGGUCAUCUGUAAAGUUCCACGAACGGGCCAGCCUCUGCCACUCAUUGGCCUUCAGCUGAUGAAUCCACCAGAGUCCUGCAGAAUCAAACCACAAACACCGGAGAAAAUCACUGAGUGAAAGCAGGCAUCACUGCUUCCUAGAACUGCAUGCUGUGCUUAUGCCACUAGGCCUCCAGGCAAGAAAAGUUGCAAGGAGGAUGGUGUGACCUUUAAAAGAAUCCAUAUAUAUCAAGACUACCAAGCUAAUUAAACAGGAUUGUGAGAGAGAAGGAGAUGAGUAAAUGCUUUUUGCUUUAAGGAUUUAAGGGAAAUUUCCCAAGACUGGCCAGGUGGACAGCAAUCCAGAUGAAUAAGGUUUUCGUGACUCUCACAGAAUACUUGAGUGCCUGAAAGCCUGCACAGCGGUGUGUUGAAAACUGCCGAGCCACACAAAGGAGUUUUUUAACCACUCAUUCGUGCUACUGGGAAUAGCUCAUGGCCAGACUGUGGACAGAGGGAACAACCAGGCGUCACCCAUCAGGGGCUCACACGCUAGGCCCAUUAUAGCUGGCCUGGUCAAUGCCGCUUGGCCCUAGUGAACUCUACGCGCUCUCAGUUCUGACGUCUGAUGUCCACAAAGGAAGAGGCAGCUGUUCAUUCCACGAAUGGGGGCAGCACAAGACAGAAGGGACAGUUAUAAUUGUACUGACCAGAGCUCUGCUCAUUAGAGCAAAGAAUGGCACAGACCCCCCCAUUGCCCCUGCAAGAAGAUGGGUGUUGCCAGGAAAGCCCCUGCUGUGCUGGGAUCGUCCUUCCUUACCUCUCUCCAGGCGUAGUAUCUCUCUGCUUUAAUGAGCAUGCCCACGACAAGGCUAUGGUUGCUCCUGGAGGCCACAGCCAGGGCAGUCUUUCCUUGCUAAAAUUAAAAAAGAAAAAAAAUUCAGGUGAUAUGGCCUAGUGAUUAGGAGCUCUAGUUUUGGAACAAGGGGGCCUCGGUUCAAAUCUUGAUUCUACCAGCCCAUGCUGGGUAAACUUAGGCCAGUCCUUUGCUUCUUUGGGUCUUUAUAACUACCCCAUAGUGGAGUGGUCAGGGGUAAAUGUGAUAAUGCAUAUAAAGCCUUUAGAACCUGUGCCACCCUGAAUAUUUCCUAGCCUCUUUUGCAGUUAGUUAUGUGACCUAAGUUCUGGCCAAUGGUCUGUAAAUAGAAGUGGGACAUGCAACUUCUGGGAAGUAUCUUUAAACAGAAGAGAGAUGAAUGGCAUUUUCCUUCUUUUCUUCUCCCUCCUGAGUGGAAUGCUGACAUGAUGGCAGGAGCCUGAACAGCCACUUUAGACCAGGAAGUAGAAGCCAUGUUUUGAGGAGCACUGAGUAAUAAGACAGAAAAGGGCUGGAUCUUAUUAAGAAUAAUAUCAAUAAUGGCAACCCUGGUAAUUCAUAGGUCACUGGACCCCUAACUAGAAAUUUUUUCUAUUAUACCAUACUGCCUCUCACCAAGGGUGAGAGGUUUUAAUCUUAAACAAAUGGAAUGAUCAACAAGGGCUGUUCUGGACAUAAUUUUGGGAAUGAACUGCCUGGAGCCCACAUGGUAACUUAGACGAAUUACAAAAAGGUACACUUUUCUCAAGAUGGACAGAGCUCAAAGCCAGGGCAUAGAGCUUUGCAAGCAGAAUCCUCUGGAUUUCAUAGAGUGCACCACUUCAACAUCUAAAUAUUUUUCCCUGAGCAAAGGAUGGUGGUUCUCAUUUGCUUUUCAAAUGACCCAUGAAGAAUUUGCUCAGAAAACAAUUAAAAUUAAUGGUCAGAAAUGACCCAAGAAGAAGAGUUCCAAUCUUAGGAACCCUUAUGGAUCCAGAAAUAUAUCCCAAGUAUUAUCUUACAUGGUUAGAUAUUUGCAACAAGUGCGAUUCCCACCAAUAUAAAUGAUUUGGUUCUUAGUCUAGGCACUAAGACCCAGGGGAGCAGGAAAAUUAGGGCUGAAAGUAAUCAGCCUGUAAUCAAAAGAGACAGUAAUGAAAUUAGGAAGAACUGCAUUUUGCAGGCAUUUAGCAAGCCUCUAAUUGUAUGCUGUCUACAUUCUGUCUUGCAGAGCCAUUUGAAUCACUAUAAUUAGCCUGCUUUGAGAAGGCAGCAUUCUGAGAGCCAGAGUUUCCAAGUUCAAAGGAAAAUCUUCCUAAGGAAUAUAUGCUGGAGUGAAAAUCCAAACACUUCUACCCUUAGGGGUUGGGAGGUAGCGUGGAUAGAAGGUUCUCUGAGAGCUUUUUGACACCUCAGGCCAAGAGGACAAGCAGAGAACAAGCUGCUGGGAAAGUCAAAUUUAUACCAAACUUUGAUUCCUUAUUUCCUAACCAGACCCUAACAUGGUCCUAGAAACACUUUUCUUUGGCAAAAAAAAAAAAAAAAAAAAAAAAAUUGUGGGAGCCAAUAGAAAAGAUAUUUUUUAUUCAUUUAUUAACUAUGUAUUGGGUGCCAACUAUGUGCCAGACCUUGAAAAGAAAGGAGAAGAAGGGAAAUCUGGGAAAGUCAAAUCAUGAGGCCCAGUAAACUGUGAGCUCUUGUUUUGAAAACAAAGUCAAAUGGUAGCAUUGACUGUAUUUACUGGAAUAUCUAGUCCACUAAGCAGCAGGGACCCCAACAUAAAUCCCUGCCCAAUGCUAUAGAUUUCGUACCCACAGAAUGGCUUUGGGGGUAUUAAGUAUUCAUGAAAAAGUAGAAUAAAAUACAAAACAACAGCAUUAAAAAAUACUAAGGCUAAAUGUUAAACCAAAUUAACCAGGCACAACUGGUGAAAGUGGUGGAAUUCCACACAAGUGAUAACAUUCUGUGUUGUGUUUUCCUCCUUAAGCUUUUCUGUGUUCUAAAUCGUCCACAGUGGGCCUGUGUUACUUUUUUUUUUUUUUUUUUUUUUUUUUUUUCAGACGGAGUUUCGCUCUUUCACCCAGACUGGAGUGCACUGGCACGGUCUCGGCUCACUGCAACCUCCGCCUUCCGGUUUCAAGUGAUUCUUCUGCCUCAGCCCCCGCUGUAGCUGGGAUUACAGUUGCGCAUCACCAUGCCCGGCUGAUUUGUGUAUUUUUAGUAGAGACAGGGUUUCACCAUGUUGGUCAGGCCGGUCUCAAACUCCUGACCUCAUGAUCUGCCUGCCUCAGCCUCCCAAAGUGCUGAGAUUACAGGUGUGAGCCACCGCGCCCAGCCAGUCUGUGUUACUUUUUUUAUGAUCAGAAAAAAAAAAACAAAAAAACCUAAUUUUAGAAACUGACACACAGAGAAAAGUAAAAUAACAUAUAACUACUUUAGAUCCUACACAUGUAAAAUGGAUGAUUCUGAACUAGAGUAGGGUGGACUCAGGCUUGCACUGUGACUUAGGGAAGUGCUGGCUAUUGAACUGUUGGGUAAAAAUAAGGAAGGGAAAACUGCAAGUUUCGGAAGCAGUCAUCUUUGCUGACAGUUGUAGCAAAGCACCAGAUGACAAAGCAGCCACUACUUGGAUUUGAAGCCAGCUCUGCCUCUUACUAUGCGUGUGACCCAAUGUCAUCAGAAUCUCUCCAAUCUGCUCUUGAAAACUGGAGUGAUUUUGUCCACCUCACUGAAAUGUGAGGAUUGAAGUAAUAUGGCCUGCGUGAGCACCUGACAGGACUGUACCCAGGGACCUCCUAUAUAACAUUCAGUAAAGCUGGAACCUAACACAGCUCUCUGACAACCCUCCGGAGGCUUAGCCUGCAUUACUGCACCACUUGAAAGAAACAAAAUUGUCCUUCUUUAAAAACAGGUUUACACAAUAGCCAAAAGGUGGACGCAACCCAAAUGUCCAUCGAUGGAUGAAUGAAUGAACAAAAUGUGGUAUAGACAUACAAUGAAAUGUUAUUUAGCUUUGAAAAGAAAUGAAAUUCUGACACAUGCUACAACAUAGAUAAACCUUGAAGACGUUACGCUAAGUGAACUAAGCCAGUCACAAAAAGGCAAAUACUAUGUGAUUCCACUUAUAUGAGGUACUUAGAGUGGUCAAAUUCAUAGAAACAGAAAGUAGAAUGGUGGUUCCCAGGGGCUGGGAGAAGGAAGAAAUGGCAAGUUAUUGAAUAAGUGUAAAGUUUCACUUUUGCAAGAUGAAAGUUUUGGAGACCAAUUGCAUAACAAUGUGAAUAUGCUUAACCAUACUGAACUAUAUACAUAAAAAUGGUUAAGACAGUGUUUAUGUGUGUGUAUUUUACCACAAAUUUUUUAAUUUAAAAAAACAAGUUUAGACAUAUGUAAAGUCAUUCAUUGCAGCUAUGUUUAUAAGAGCAAAACCUUAGGAACAACUUAAAUGUCAAUCAAGUGAGGACUAGCUGAACAAGUUGUGAUAUGUCUGUGCCACGCUAUACUAUGCAGCUCUAAAAAAAAAAAGAAUGAAGAAACUCUCCAUGUAGUAAUAUCUCCACUUAAUAAUGCUAAAAAAGCUAAAUGCAGAACAGUAUACUAGUUAUAGGUAUGCCAUCAGUGUCUAAAAAGGAAGGAGGAAGGGAAUAAGAGUAAAAUGUGUUUAUGUUUGCUUGCAUAUGCAUAAAAAACUCUGGAAGGAACAGAAAUAAUUUAUAAUAAUGGAUAUAUAUAAGCGGGGUAGUAUGGUAACCAGACAAGUAGGAACAGGGGUGGGUGGGAAAUUUUUACUGUUAAACCCUUACUAAUUAUAUUCUUUUAUUUCUGGACCAUACGAAUCUAUAAUCUUUUCAGAAUUUGAAUUUAAAAACACAUAUUUUUUCUUCAGAGUAAAAAUUUUUACUGACAUAGCUCAACCAAAAUUGGGGUAUUUUACUGACUAUGAAGAUGCAUGGUUUCUCCAGUUUGUGCCCAUUUCACAAAGGAUAUUCCAAUAACGCUGCUCAAGGCUGACAUCCAACAGGAAGGUCUUAGCAACCAUCUCAGCUGAAUGGAGUAAAGUCCAUGCACUUACCUUGUCAACAGCCUUCAAGUCACAGCCUGCCUUCAGCAGGGUUUCCACCAGUUCCACAUUUCCACGAUCAGCAGCUACAUGCAGAGGGGUUUGCUGCUUCUGCCAUGAAAUUAAGGAGGGGAACAAACUUGGACGGUGAAAAGACAAAUGGAAAGUAUAGCCAUCCUAUUUAGGUUCAAGGGAAAACACAGGUCAUAUAUUUUUUAAUGGAUACUGGGGCAUUCAUUGCAUUAUUAUUUGCAAUAGUGAAAAACUGAAAGGAAAUUACAUGUUUAACAAGGAGACUCACUAGAUAAAUUAUGAUAAUCUAUAUAUUGGAAUAACAGGCAACCAUUAAAAAUUAUUUUUUUAAAAAUGAUUUCAAUAUUAGGUACCUAAAGUAGUCAAAUAUAUAGAGACAGAAAGUAGAAUGGUGGUUCCCAGGAGCUGGAGGAGGGAAUGGGAAGUUACCGUUUAAUAGAUAUAAAAUUUCAGUUUGGGAAGAUGAAAAAUGUUCUGAAGAUGGAUGGUGGUGAUAUUAUACCAAAUGAAUGUAAUUAAUGCUGCUGAACUGUACACUUAAGAUGGUUAAAAUGGUGGAUUUUAUGUGUAUUUUACUACAAUAAAAAUUAUUUCGAAGAUUUUUUAAAAAUAAAAGACGCUUUUGAUAUAACAUUUGAAACUUUAGGAAAUGAUACUAUCUAGUUGAGCUUGAUUUAAUGAAAAAUACACAUAGAGAAAGAGACAAAAAUACAGUACAGAAAAAUGCUAAUGAUAAGGUCUAGAUGAAG
rnacentral:lncRNA from 10 species